GGCCUAGGUUGGUGACCUCCAUUGCACUUUGGAGGGGUGCCUGCCUAAGGUCGGCCCAAGUGGUUGAGCCUACGUCAUAAUUUGUGGUAGUGGGGGCCUGCGUUCGCGCGGUCCCUAC
rnacentral:snRNA from 1 species